GUUUCCUCCACUGCAAACUGGGGGUGUGGGGGCCCCCCUCCCGGUGUCACUGGGAAGGUUAACAUGUCAUGUAGGGAAACCAGAUGGGGUUGGGAAGGGGCGCCCCACAUUUUGCAGGUCCUGCUUGGGAAAUCAAACCUUGAAUGUUCUGUUUUGGCUGACUGAGCACCAUGCCUGCACGUUAUUGCACAGAAAGAUGCCAAGCACCUUGAGCAACCGUAAAACUAAAACUUGGGGCUUCCCUGGUGGCUCCGUGGUAAGGAAUCUGCCUGCCGAUGCAGGAGACGCAGGUUCAAUCCCUGGUCCAGAAAGAUCCCACAUGCUGAGGAGUAACUAAACCCUGCACCACAAGUACUGAGCUUGUGGUCUGCAGCAAGAGAAGCUGCCACAACGGGAAGCCUGCGUGCCCAGACCAGAGAGGAGCCCCUGCUGUCUGCAACGAGAGGAAAGCCUGGGCAGCGACGAAGACCCGGCACAGCCAAAACGUUCAAUCUUUCCCAGAAUCAGAGUCUUUUCCGAUGAGUCGGCUCUUCAAAUCAGCCCAAGUAUCAGAGCUUCAGCUUCAGCAUCAGUCCCUCCAACAUGUAUUCAGGGUUGAUUUCCUUUAGGAUUGACUGAUUUGAUCUCCUUGUAGGCCAAGGGACUCUCAAGCGUCUUCUCCAGCACCGCAGUUCAAAAGCAUCAGUUCUUCGGCACUGAGACUUCUUUAUGGUCCAAUUCUCACUUCUGUACAUGACUACUGGAAAAACCAUAGCUUUGACUAGAUAGACCUUUGUCAGCAGAGUGGUAUCUCUACUUUUUAAUAUGCUGUCCAGGUUUGUCAUAAUUUUCGUCCAAGGAGCAAGCAUCCUUUAAUUUCAUGGCUGCAGUCACCGUCUGCAGCUAUUUAAUUGCUCCCUUUUGACAAAUGGACUGCAGACAUGGGAGAAGAUGGCUUUGGGGAGGCUGAGGAGUGGAGGUAGGGGAGACAGAACUCUUUGUACAUCAUUGCAACUUUUCUGAAAUAAUAGUCUGGAUGAGCUAAACCUAUCCAAAGUAAAAACUUCCUUUUCAUGAAGUCAACAUGAAUUUUGGCCCAGAUGGGGCUGUGUCUCUGGGGGAGGCUUAUGCUUCAGGCUACAGAAUACACGGAGCCCUUUGUCACCCUCGAGAAUCGGUGACGUUGGGUCAGGGGGCCUUGGCUCACCAGACAUGAGUGUAAGGCCGCCUCGGGGCCAAGAGGAUUGGAGGGAGGAGCAGGCUUGGGAACAAGAGGGAUAAGUACCCAACCCUUUCCUUUUUCUCCCCCUCUCCUCUGGAUUACCAGAAAGUCUUGUUGGUUCUGCCUCCAAAAUGCAUCCUGAUUUUGUUCUCUCUACUACCUGGCACCACCCAGCCUUCAUCCCUGCUCCAACCCAUCCCUCUGGCCUCUUCAGCCUCGUCUCCUCCAUCACUCUGUUCCAGCCACCCUGACCCCCUUGUCCAGGACUUUUCAGCCUCCGGGCCUUUGCACUGGCUAUUCCAUCUGCC
ensembl:lncRNA